AAAGAACUGAAAAUUUUAAUUUGUUGUGUUUGCAGCAUAUUUACUGAAAUCAAAAGCUAUUUCAAUCAAACUUAUAACAACAUUUUAACUUUUUAAACAUUUUAACAGGUCACGUUACAUUUUAACAUAGGACCCCUUAUUUGAUAGCAGCUUCACAAGUCUUGCAUCCAUUGAACUUGUGAGUUUUUGGACAGUUUCUGCUUGAAUUUGUUAGCAAGAUGUCAGAAUAGCCUCCCAGAGCUGCUGUUUGGAUGUAUACUGCCUCCCACCCUCAUAGAUCUUUUGCUUGAGGAUGCUCCAAAGGUUCUCAAUAAGAUUGAGGUCAGGGGGGAUGGAGGCCACACCAUGACUUUCUCUCCUUUUAUCCCCAUAGCAGCCAUCGAUGCAGAGAUAUUCUUUGCAGCAUGAGAUGGUGCAUUGUCAUGCAUGAAGAUGAUUUUAUUACGAAAAGCAUAGUUCUUCCUUCU